rnacentral:lncRNA from 1 species
GAAAUUUAAUUCCAAGUAUUAGGAUGCCAUAAGAAGUUGUUCUUAAAAGCAAAGAUCAGUUCUGUACGUAACUAAGAUUUUGUAUCUGUACAAAUAUGUCAGAUGUCACAACUUUGGGAACAAAACAAGAAGUUUACCUAGGUAGCACAUGCCAGAAUCUGCAUAUCAUCGUAUCCCAUUGAAUUUAAAGAAAGGAGUUAACAGACUGGGGAGAUAAACAAACAAGUUGUGCAGUGUUCCACCAAACCUAACAGCGGAGUUUUGUCACUUCUUGAAAAUUAUUAACAAGCAACAAAACAUGCAUGCAAAGCUCAUUAUACAAGUUGUCAUGCAAAGCAUUGAUGAUGCUGGAAAUAUCAGAUGGUCCUCACUAAUUUCAAUAACAUUAUUUCCCGAAACAGAUAAUUCGAGUAUUUCUAGGCUUUUAACAACUCCUGUUUCACAGAAAUCCACGUGGGAUUUGUUUUACUUCAUGAAAGGUUUUAAAAAGAAAUCCUCCCAAGCAGGCAUGAACCCUUUCCAUGUACAUAUGUCUUGGCUUCCCAGCUUUUUCAGUUAUCUAAUAAAGAAGAGAGAGAACUUCUGCCCACAUUUCCUACCCUGCUCGUGUCCUUAAGGUAUCACCGCAGUGAUGUUCUCACACUAAUGCUAGCAGGUCUCCCUGAAAGUCACAGGAUACACCCUGAAGAGCAGCUGUACUCUGAUGGAAGGGCUUUUGCUAUAGAAGUUCUGUACAACUAAACAGGUUUUUGUUUAAAAGAAUAAAACCAAAACAAAAAAAGGCCACAAAACAAAAACAAAAAACCAACCCAUUUCUUGCUACUCCACAAUCUCUGUUUACUUAUUUAAAGGAGAAAUCUGCUUCUGAAAGCACCACCAGUGCCUGGCAGCUGACUGUCAACUCUCCAGGCCCCUAAAGACAAAGCCAGUUCUCUGUGUGACUGCAGACAUCUCCGUUCAGACAGUCGUGGUCUCACUGCUCACAAGUUAGCUACUUCUCUUCGUCCAAGCUCUGAGAGAGCUGAUGAGAACUAAGCUGCCAGAACACACACCCACAGAGACCACACAGCACAGAGAUUUAAUUUCAAGCAGUUUUCGCAGAAACAAUCCUUUACACCUCUGGUUAGAGGCCCUCUAAGAUGCAGACUGGAUAACCCACAAAUACAUAUUUCAGAUUCUUAAGACAAAAGGAAGAAAUCACUGCUCAACACCAGCUUCAGUGCAAUGCAGGAACUUAGAGACAUGCUUUUUUUGUUUAAUUAGUUCUUCAUUCAGCCUGCUUUUGUUGGCAAAUAAGACCAUAUGCUUCCAUUUUUA